rnacentral:misc_RNA from 1 species
GAUGAAGAACGCAGCGAAAUGUGAUACUUGGUGUGAAUUGCAGAAUCCCGUGAACCAUCGAGUCUUUGAACGCAAGUUGCGCCUCAAGCCAUUAGGUUGAGGGCACGUCUGCCUGGGCGUCACAUAUCGUUGCCUGAUGCCAGUUUCCUCGUGAUGGGUGACUGUGCAGGGCGAAUGAUGGCUUCCCGUGAGCAUUGUUGCCUCAUGGUUGGUUGAAAAUUGAGUCCUUGGUAGGGAGCGCCGUGAUAGAUGGUGGUUGAGUGACGAACAAGACCCAAUCAUGUGAGACCCCUACCGAAUUUGGCCUUCAUGACCCACAUGCGUCUUUGGAACGCUCAUGACGAGACCUCAGGUCAGGCGGGGCUACCCGCUGAGUUUAAGCAUAUCAAUAAGCGGAGGA